rnacentral:rRNA from 1 species
GACUCCAUGAAGCUGGAUUCGCUAGUAAUCGCGCAUCAGCCACGGCGCGGUGAAUACGUUCCCGGGCCUUGUACACACCGCCCGUCAAGCCAGGGAAGCCGGGGUGCCUGAAGUGCGUGACCGCAAGGAGCGCCCUAGGGUAAAACCGGUGACUGGGGCUAAGUCGUAACAAGGUAAC